UUCAAAUGUUGGCAACACUACAUCGUUAUGGCGGGCUGCGGGACUUCCCCGUUUUACUUACUUCAUCUUCAACUCAGCGGGGAAUCCCCGGGAAUCCUUCAUCGAUAUCGCGAUGUACGUGUACGUUGUUGUACUUUGCAUUGGAUGUUAAACCACGGAGUGCAGUGCACUGUUUAUUUACGCGCUUUAUAUAAAUGUGCAUUACAUUGUAAUUCAGUAGAAACAAUAUUGUUCUUCUGGUUUAGCAGUAUUAGUAACGAUUUGUAAAAGAAAUGAGUGAAAGAAAAAGAGAUUAUCCCAGCGGCGCUGAGAAAAGAAAAAUUAAACAGAAAAGGGACGAGGUUAUAAAAAAAGUGCCCAAAAUUUCUUCAUUUUUUCAGAGACAAGAUACUGUGAGUGAUUUAGAUUGGAAAGAUUCUUCUGAAGCAUGUUUUUCGUCACAUAUCCAUCCGGAAAUAGAAGAAAGCCAAGCACAUACUUUAUCGGAUGUCCAUCCAGAAAUCGAGGAACCCCAAGUCAACGAUUCUGAUAUAUCUGCAGAUAAUGCAGAUUGUAAUAUAAUUUCAUCAGAUAGAGGAAAUUUUGGUGACAAUUUAACUGAAUGCGAACGAAAAAUAAUUUUUAAAUUGGGUCCAUUUAAACCACAAGGACCAUUUCCAAAAGUUUCAGAAAAUAACCGACCUUUUUCAGCUUAUUAUUAUUCAUAUUUCAAUCAGGCAGGCAUAAAAAUUAUAAGACCAUGGUUAUGUUA